AGAAAGAAAGAAAGAAAGAAAGAAAGAAGAAAGAGGUAAAAAUGUGGUUGUUCAGUUAUGGUCUUCUUUUUGUUGUUGUGAACUCCUUUCUUGUCUCUGCUCAAGUAUCUCCUGCAGCAUUAAAUGCUCUAGAAGAAUUAUACAAUUCAACAAACGGAGCAAACUGGGAGGUCAAUUACAAUUGGAUGAGUUCUUUCUCUCCUUGUGAUGAUUUUAAUGGUUGGUAUGGUGUUUACUGUAAUUCUUUUGAU
rnacentral:ribozyme from 13 species